rnacentral:hammerhead_ribozyme from 1 species
ACUAACUGAUGAGUCCCAACUAGGACGAAACUAGAGUCCUGGAU